GAUGAACGCUGGCGGCGUGCCUAAUACAUGCAAGUCGAACGCUUCACUUCGGUGAAGAGUGGCGUACGGGUGCGUAAUACAUAAGUAACCUUGCAUCUACUGGGGGCUAACUGCUGGUAACGUCAGCUAAGACCGCAUAGUUGUAGAGAUCGCCUGAACUCUAUAUGAAAAGUGCUACGGUACUGGUAGAUGAUGUACUUUUGGCGCAUUAGCUUGUUUUUAGGGUAUCGUUCUACCACCGCGACGAUGCGUAUCCGACCUGAGAGGGUGACCGGCCACACAGAGACUGCGACACGGCCCAGAAUCCUAAGUGAGGCAGCAGUGGGGAAUUUUCGGCAAAGGGGGAAAGACUGAACGAGCACCGCCGGGUGAAGGAAGAAAUAAUUCGUUAUGUAGAAGUCUGUCAUAGAGGAAGAACGGUGGAUAUAGGGAAUGAUAGCCAAGUGACGGUACUCAAUAAGAAAGACACGGCUAACUACGUG
rnacentral:rRNA from 1 species